AUUAAAAUAGCUUAAUAAGAGUUUUGUGUUGAAGCCGCAAUGGUGGCCUGAAGGCCUUUUAAUG
rnacentral:tRNA from 1 species